CCUACGGGAGGCAGCAGUGGGGGAUAUUGCACAAUGGGGGGAACCCUGAUGCAGCGACGCCGCGUGGGUGAAGAAGCGCCUCGGCGCGUAAAGCCCUGUCAGCAGGGAAGAAAAUGACGGUACCUGAAGAAGAAGCCCCGGCUAACUACGUGCCAGCAGCCGCGGUAAUACGUAGGGGGCAAGCGUUAUCCGGAUUUACUGGGCGUAAGGGGGGCGCAGACGGCGAUGCAAGCCAGGAGUGAAAGCCCGGGGCCCAACCCCGGGACUGCUCUGGGAACUGCGUGGCUGGAGUGCAGGAGGGGCAGGCGGAAUGCCUGGUGUAGCGGUGAAAUGCGUAGAGAUCAGGAGGAACACCGGUGGCGAAGGCGGCCUGCUGGACUGCAACUGACGUUGAGGCCCGAAAGCGUGGGGAGCAAACAGGAUUAGAUACCCUUGUAGUC
rnacentral:rRNA from 1 species